rnacentral:misc_RNA from 1 species
AAGUCGUAACAAGGUCUCCGUAGGUGAACCUGCGGAGGGAUCAUUAACACGUAUCCAAACACGUUUAAAACCAAACCCUUCGUGCUCUUCUGAUUUGUCCCAUAUUAAAUUGGUGUACAUGCAAGCCAACACAAGACAAGGUAGAUUCAAGAGUCGAAAGGCUCUUGUCUGCUUGCAGUACUAUUAGUCCCCGAGGCUAAGAUCGAUUUAGUAUGGUGUAACACCUGAAAGUGCUACCUUGGUUAUCAGUGCCACCCCGGUAUCGACCCGGAGCCUGAUAGCCGUAUUAAUCCCUAUUUUUUAAACCCCUUUUUAUUUAAAAAACUGAUUCUUGAAUAUUGUGCUGUAAUGGCGCAAUAUUUGCAUACGAAAUAUGCAGAACAACUCUUAGCAACGGAUAUCUUGGUUCUC